UAGUUGUUGUGUUGUUGCUGUUCUUUGCGGAUAACAGUUUUCAGCGCGGAGUGCGUGCGUGUGCGUGCGUCGAAAACGUAGUUCUAAAUCGGUGUCAAAAUAGUUGUAAAUUCAGAACAGCAAAGCAACAACAAAGGCUGCUGCUUGCACGACCGAUGCACGAAUCUUAUCGGGAAAAAUAGGGUUCUGAAACCGAAAUUUUGUUUUUAUUUGCCUUACGAUGGAAUAUUGACUGUGAAAUCGUAAAUCGAAGAAACUAAUACGCCAAGUAAGCAAAUAGUGACAAUUAAGGCAAGAUGACGGACUUUGUUGAGCUGAUGAACAGCAUGUCUAGUACAUUCAAUAGCGACUGUGCUACUUCAACAGCGGAGGGUGGUACUUUGCUUAAUAUGAAUUUGGCGGAAGACAAAACCCUCAAGUGGCGUAAUUUGGCCAAUAACCAGUUCGCUAGUAAAGAAAAGAAACACAAGGACAAGGAGGAGGAGCGCAAGGAGGCAAGGAAUCAAGAGGAAAUCGAAGACAUCAAAGCACUUUUGGCAGAUGUUGUCGAUGCGGCCGCUGUCAAGCUGGAAGAAGAAGAAGCGCAGAAUGCAGAAAAAGUCGAACAACAUACAAAAAGCGAAAAAGAGGAAGAAGGUAGGAAGGAAAUGGAGUACGAUCAAGAUGUCGCAAAACAAUACUCCGAAAAGGAAGAAAAGCAGAAUGGCAAAGCAACAUCCAUAACAGUAAAGAUGGAAAGCAACGAGCGUGCAGAGAAACACGCAACGGAAAUUGCAACGACGUCGACAGAUAGAUGGCAAAACGAAAGCUUUAAAACUGAGCAGCAAAAUAAGAAAGCUGCUGAGAAAGAAGAAGACACACUAGCGGCAACACAAAAAUCGGAUGCAAAUGCAGAUCCAGGGACAAAAACAAGAAUUGAGGCAGCAGUAGCAUCUCCACUUGUUGUUAGUUCUGCUAGCGUUAAACUCGCUGCUGACGCAACCAACCAAAUGCGAGCAGCGACGUCGACAGGGGCAGCGACAUUAGCUGAUAAAAAUGUACAAGUUUCUCCCGGUGGAACGCGUCGGUCUCGAAGAGCACCCAGACCCCCAGACACGCCCACUUCAGUUACUGAUGAACAUGUUCAGGUGGAGAAUAAAAAAUUCGGAAAGUCGGAGCAGUAUACGGAUUGUAGUAGCCAUCUGGAGAGGUUCACACUGGACGAUAAUACUGCUAUUGUCAGACUGCAGUUGAAGAGUGAACUUGACAAACCGUCAUCGACUACAUUAUCGCCUGAGGAAAACUCGGCUCCUGCUCCGAAGCGAGGAAGGGGUCGAGCCAGGAAAAUAAGACCCGAUGCCGAGGUGGAAACCAGUGAGGUUAUUUUACCCUGCGAGGAUUCAUUAGGGGAGAAGAAACCAGGACGCAAAAGGAAACUCCCGGAUGAACCGAUAGAUCAGCAGCAACUAAGCGACUUUGUUGUGGUAAAAACAGAGCAGGAGGAAUUGGGUGAAGCUCCCUUGGGAGAUGUCAAGAGAAUGCGACGUAGUGUCCGUUUGGGCAAUCGAUUACAUGCCGAUGGAAGCCCUUGGGAGGAGGUAAAGACAGAGGCACUUCCCUCUCAGCCUUCUGCAGAGCUUUCCUUGGCGGAGGUAACUUCUGAGGUCUUGCCACUAGCUGUCUUAGAUGAGAAGACCCCACCCAAAAAGCGAGGGCGGAAGGCAAAAACGCCCGGUGUGAAGUUAGAAUCUGAAACAUCCUGCGUGCUACCGUUUGCUAAUGGCAACAAGAAAACGAAUUCCUCUGGUGGAUCCGAACUUCAGCUGCCCAAGCGUUCAAAAAGACGAAUAAAACCAACGCCAAAGAUAUUAGAAAAUGACGAACUGCGCUGUGAGUUCGAAACGAAGCACAUUGAACGUAUGACCCACUGGGAGAGUGCUGCAGCAGUAGAUGGGGAUUUUGAAACGCCAACAACAGGCGGUAAUGGGUCGAAUUCCUCGACCUCAAGGCAAAAGAGCGACAAGUCCGACGGGAGCAACUUCGAAGGUGGUCCAGGACAUCCUGCAGGCACAAGUGCCAUAAAGAAAAGACUGUUUUCAAAGUCCCAGCGGGACAUUGAGAACUAUGGCGCAGCAAUGCUAGCCAAAAGUAAGUUACGUCCGUGUCCGGACGUCGAACAAUUUCUAAGCGACAUCAAGGCAUCGCGAAUUAAUGCGAAUCGAUCACCAGAAGAAAGGAAAUUGAACAAAAAACAGCAACGAAAACUGGCCAAACAAAAGGAAAAGCACCUAAAGCAUUUGGGACUGCAAAAAAAUCACAGAGAUGAGCCUUCGGAUAACGACAGUUCCAAUACGGACAAUGAAUUCUUACCUACUACAAGAGUGCAAGUGGGAAAACCAAGUGUUACUUUGAGAGUGAGGAAUAGUGUUACCAAGGAGCUUCCCACAACAGCCACUUUAAAAUCACUCCGGAAUCCAGUCGUGCAAGCAGCCAAACUCAAGAGAAGGAUAUGUGCAAGAGCCACCGGUGAAGUUACUGAGGCAGCCCGAGCAAGUGUUUCAAUUUCUGCACUGGAUGCGGAGCAGCUUCACUCGUUGAACACUUCUAUUCAAGCUGAUGUUACCCCGAUAAGAGACUUAGAUAUGAGGCCCAGCACCUCCAGAGUGGCAAAGUUUAUUUGUCUAUGUCAGAAGCCUUCCCAGUACUAUGCCAGGAAUGCCCCGGACUCAUCAUACUGCUGUGCCAUCGAUCACAUCGACGAACAAAAAAUUGGCUGCUGCAACGAGCUGUCCUCGGAGGUUCACAAUCUACUCAGACCCAGCCAACGCGUGAGCUAUAUGAUCCUAUGCGACGAGCACAAAAAGCGCCUACAAUCCCACAACUGCUGCGCAGGAUGUGGCAUAUUUUGUACACAGGGAAAAUUUGUGCUAUGCAAGCAGCAGCACUUCUUUCAUCCCGAUUGUGCCCAGCGAUUUAUUCUAAACACUUCGUACGAGAAGGAACUCGUCGAUGAGGAAGAUCAGGGCGUCAAAUUCAGCAGCCCUGUGUUGGUGCUCAAGUGCCCCCACUGCGGAUUAGAUACACCAGAACGGACCUCCACGGUGACCAUGAAGUGUCAGUCCCUGCCUGUCUUUCUGCGCACCCAAAAAUACAAGAUAAAACCCGCUAGGUUGACAACCUCUUCGCAUCUAACCCAAUUUGGAACAGUUGGGAAAGCAAAUACUCCAGGAGCCACGGCCAGAAACAAUGGGGGACCAUCCACCGCCGUAACCUUAAGCGCGGCAUUAAGUCCUGCUUCAAAAACAAAUGGAGCCCAGAGUGGCAGGGCGGGCACCUCCAAUUCUAGCUCCGGACAUGCUCUUAAUUCGAUCAACUUUGCUCAACUUAUACCCGAGUCCGUAAUGAAUGUAGUGCUGCGGGGCCAUGUGGUUUCUGCUAGUGGUCGCGUGACCACAGAGUUUACGCCGCGGGAUAUGUACUAUGCAGUCCAAAACGAUGACUUGGAGCGUGUAGCGGAGAUUCUGGCUGCCGACUUCAACGUGCUGACUCCUAUACGGGAGUACCUAAAUGGCACCUGCCUGCAUUUGGUGGCCCACUCGGGCACACUUCAGAUGGCAUAUCUGCUGCUCUGCAAAGGAGCAAGCUCACCGGAUUUCGUUAACAUUGUGGAUUAUGAACUGCGGACUGCUUUAAUGUGUGCCGUGAUGAACGAGAAGUGCGACAUGCUGAAUCUAUUUCUUCAAUGUGGUGCGGAUGUGGCCAUUAAGGGUCCCGAUGGUAAGACCAGUCUGCAUAUUGCUGCCCAGUUAGGCAACUUGGAAGCCACACAGUUGAUUGUAGACAGCUAUCGAACUUCUCGAAAUAUUACCAGUUUUUUAAGUUUCAUUGAUGCCCAGGAUGAAGGCGGUUGGACGGCCAUGGUCUGGGCAGCAGAGCUGGGGCACACGGAUAUAGUUAGGUUGGCUUCUCUGCCCCAAGGGGUUCUCUUAAAGCUGAUUAAUAUUUUUCCCUUCAUUAGCUUCCUGCUUAACCAGGAUGCUGAUCCAAACAUAUGCGACAAUGACAACAAUACCGUGCUGCACUGGUCUACGCUGCACAAUGAUGGUCUGGACACGAUUACAGUACUGCUGCAGUCAGGGGCGGACUGCAAUGUACAGAAUGUGGAGGGCGACACGCCUUUGCACAUUGCUUGCCGUCAUUCUGUCACCCGCAUGUGCAUUGCGUUAAUAGCUAAUGGAGCCGAUCUAAUGAUUAAGAACAAGGCGGAACAGCUGCCCUUUGAUUGCAUUCCGAAUGAGGAGUCUGAGUGCGGUCGCACUGUAGGUUUUAAUAUGCAAAUGCGUAGUUUCAGGCCUUUGGGCCUCCGUACCUUUGUGGUAUGUGCAGAUGCGUCGAAUGGCAGGGAGGCACGACCAAUCCAGGUGGUUCGCAACGAACUGGCAAUGUCUGAAAAUGAGGAUGAGGCCGACUCGCUUAUGUGGCCGGAUUUUCGCUACGUAACACAAUGCAUCAUCCAGCAAAACUCAGUGCAGAUUGACCGACGCGUUUCUCAAAUGCGCAUAUGCUCCUGCCUGGAUAGUUGCAGUAGCGAUCGGUGUCAGUGCAAUGGGGCCUCCUCGCAGAAUUGGUACACGGCAGAAAGUCGUCUAACCGCCGACUUUAACUACGAGGAUCCUGCGGUAAUCUUCGAAUGCAACGACGUCUGCGGUUGCAAUCAGCUCUCCUGCAAAAACCGCGUGGUCCAGAAUGGUACACGGACACCACUACAAAUUGUCGAGUGCGAGGAUCAGGCGAAGGGCUGGGGAGUACGGGCGCUGGCCAAUGUGCCCAAAGGCACUUUUGUGGCCAGUUAUACGGGUGAAAUUUUGACCGCGAUGGAGGCAGAUCGACGCACCGAUGACAGCUACUACUUUGACCUAGACAACGGGCACUGCAUCGAUGCUAACUAUUAUGGAAAUGUAACCCGGUUUUUUAACCACUCGUGUGAACCGAAUGUUUUGCCCGUUCGUGUUUUCUACGAGCAUCAGGACUACAGAUUCCCUAAGAUCGCCUUUUUUUCCUGCCGUGACAUCGAUGCCGGAGAGGAAAUAUGCUUUGACUACGGAGAAAAAUUCUGGCGCGUGGAACAUCGCUCCUGUGUGGGAUGUCGAUGCCUGUCAGCAACCUGCAAGUACGCCUCCCAAUCCUCAAGCACAAAUGCCUCGCCCACGGAUGCAACAACAGCACCGGAAAAUGAAACGGGAACGCUGUCGUCUACAAAUACGGAGAAAAUUGGACAGGCGUAGGAUAAAACCUCCUAAACUUGAAAUGAUUGCAGAUUUUACAGUCUCAUCCGACAAAUAAAUCCCCACCUAAACCAUCAGCAACCAGAUAAGCCAGACAUCUGAAAUCGCAGCAGCCCCAUAUUCGAUAACGAUAUAAACAAUGAAUCGUUAUCGAAGCCCGUCCGGGCCUUUCUUCUUUGACUGCCAAAUGUUUCGUGGUUAACAACUUUUUAUCUAUUUUUACAUAUACAAAUAGUGUUUGUUUUUUUUUUUAAUUUUGUUUGAAUUGUAUUAAUUUUUGUACGCCUUAUUAAUAAUGUUUUUAUUAUUAGUAACUGUAAAACCAAAUUAGUUUAUACUUCCUGCGCGAAACAAACUAAAUAAGAAGGGCAUAUCAAAAUUGCUUCCCGACAUUGUGGGUUUGCUUGUUUCUGGAGCGUAAAAGUUUCAAACUUUAAAUUAGGCUUGGACAUUACCAGGCAUAAAAUAGAAUUGUAAUGGCGGAAAAGACCAUCUAGUCAUAAGAAUGAGGGAGAAAAAGUAUUUAAAAAGAAAAGAGAAAAAAAAUUUUUUUAAUAGAAGUAGUCUGCUUUUUUUAAAUUUGUAUGAGCAUGCUCCAGAAUACGUAAAUACGUGAUACGUAAAAAGUAAUUUGUUUGAUUUUACCGUUAACCAUGAAAAUUAGACCAUUUAAAUUGACCUGUAAUGGGCAUCUAAAUGUUACUAGAAACCAAAAGUAAAGGAGGAAUUAUUUAGCAAAAAAACAUUGUCAUAUAAUGGAUAACACAUAUAUGUACAUGUUUUGUGCAGGGUGAAGUACUGACACAUACCCCCAAUUUGAUUACCACUCUACCAAUCCAAUUAAAUCUGGAAUCUUUAUCAAGUAUAAAAAUUUUUCAGUUUGCUAAGCAAGCCAAGCCACAAGUGCCUAAAAGAAAAUUAUUUCUUACCCGGUUGCCCCUUAGGAAAACCCUAAUUUUUCUAUAAAGCAAUAUAGUUGUAUAUCGAAACUAUCUAUCCGCUUUCACAAUUCAAUUUGGGACAGAACUCUAGACCCAAGACUGUAAACGUUAACAUGGGGCUUGCAUGUGUAAUUAACUUUAUCUGUUUAAAACGACAACAUGUAAUUUAAGUCAUAGGUCAUCGAAAGGCUCUUCUUUAUUUUUCUGUUGGCAUUUGUAUCCGUAUUUAUGUACCUAACGACAAGUGUCAUGAAAAAAAUAUAUUUAUACAGUGCAGUGUCCCUUGGCGGUAUUAACUGUUACGGCUGACAGUUUAAUGCCAUCUUAAUGCAUUUGUGUUCUUAAGUUUUGUUUUUCUUUUGCAAUCAAACUUGUAAGUUUUACUCAUAAUUGGAAGAAUAGGCAUGCUAGAAGUAAUUUUUCGAUUGCAGCUACGUUAUUGUUUAACCAUAAAAUAUUGAAUUGAUUAAAUUCGCCAUAAAGAGCACGGCAGAAACGGUGCGAACAAUAAAAAAAUAUUAUCGUGUGCAGUUAAGAUUGACUUUUUAAUGCGGCUUCAUUUUUGGGUCGGUGUCUACGAUUUGAUCAAGGGCUUAAAAUUUUUUGUCUUUAUACUACGAAAUAACACACAGAUUUUGUAAAGGCUUAACAUAAAAUUUGAGCGCCCAAUCAUCCGCCCCUGCAGAGUUGCCACACGUUGUUACACUAGUUAUCGAAACGAACAGCUGAUUUUUGUUUUGUAAUAUUUGAGCGUUUGACAAGUUGAACUUCGAACGGAAAUCUAUUAUAGCCUCAAUUGACAAGACCAUCAAAUAAUCAUUGGAAAACAACUUGAGAGAUGAGUUUUCCAGACAAGGCGGAGCGCACAAAGUGCUGGAACAACCGGGACGAGUAUUGGAAGUGUUUAGAGGAGUACGCCCCAAAGCACAGUUCUACCAGUGGGGAAAAGGUACCAACCCCCUGCCAGAGUCUUCGCAAAUCAUUUGAGCAAUCCUGCCCUGGUCAAUGGGUAAAGCAUUUCGACCGCAAGCGUACUUAUGACCAGUUUAAGGAAAAAAUGGCCAAGGGUUAUGAUCCCUUGGAGGACCGUACGAAGGCCGAAAAGCAAGCCAAUUGACCCUUAGCCCGCCAAGGUUUCUAGGAGCACUGUUGAUCAGCUUAUACCUCUGUUUGUGUACUUUUUUAUGGUAAAUAAAUAAACUGUAUAGUAACAUACAAACAAACCACA